GACGAACGCUGGCGGCGUGCUUAACACAUGCAAGUCGAACGGAAAGGCCCUGCUUUUGUGGGGUGCUCGAGUGGCGAACGGGUGAUUAACACGUGAGUAACCUGCCCUUGACUUUGGGAUAACUUCAGGAAACUGGGGCUAAUACCGGAUAGUAGCUCCUGCUGCAUGGUGGGGGUUGGAAAGUUUCGGCGGUUGGUGAUGGACUCGCGGCUUAUCAUCUUGUUGGUGGGGUAGUGGCUUACCAAGGCUUUGACGGGUAGCCGGCCUGAGAGGGUGACCGGCCACAUUGGGACUGAGAUAAGGCACAGACUCCUACGGGAGGCAGCAGUGGGGAAUAUUGCACAAUGGGCGGAAGCCUGAUGCAGCAACGCCGCGUGCGGGAUGACGGCCUUCGGGUUGUAAACCGCUUUCGCCUGUGACGAAGCGUGAGUGACGGUAAUGGGUAAAGAAGCACCGGCUAACUACGUG
rnacentral:rRNA from 1 species